rnacentral:rRNA from 1 species
UAUUGCACAAUGGGGGACACCCUGAUGAAGCGACGCCGCGUGAGCGAAGAAGUAUUUCGGUAUGUAAAGCUCUAUCAGCAGGGAAGAUAAUGACGGUACCUGACUAAGAAGCACCGGCUAAAUACGUGCCAGCAGCCGCGGUAAUACGUAUGGUGCAAGCGUUAUCCGGAUUUACUGGGUGUAAAGGAAGCGCAGGCGGUGCGGCAAGUCUGAUGUGAAAGCCCGGGGCUCAACCCCGGUACUGCAUUGGAAGCUGUCGUACUAGAGUGUCGGAGGGGUAAGCGGAAUUCCUAGUGUAGCGGUGAAAUGCGUAGAUAUUAGGAGGAACACCAGUGGCGAAGGCGGCUUACUGGACGAUAACUGACGCUGAGGCUCGAAAGCGUGGGGAGCAAACAGG